CCUACGGGUGGCUGCAGUGGGGAAUAUUGGACAAUGGGGGCAACCCUGAUCCAGCCAUGCCGCGUGUGUGAAGAAGGCCCUCGGGUUGUAAAGCACUUUCAGUGAGGAAGAACGCCUGGUGGUUAAUACCCAUCAGGAAAGACAUCACUCACAGAAGAAGCACCGGCUAACUCCGUGCCAGCAGCCGCGGUAAUACGGAGGGUGCGAGCGUUAAUCGGAAUUACUGGGCGUAAAGCGCGCGUAGGUGGCUUGAUAAGCCGGUUGUGAAAGCCCCGGGCUCAACCUGGGAACGGCAUCCGGAACUGUCAAGCUAGAGUGCAGGAGAGGAAGGUAGAAUUCCCGGUGUAGCGGUGAAAUGCGUAGAGCUCGGGAGGAAUACCAGUGGCGAAGGCGGCCUUCUGGACUGACACUGACACUGAGGUGCGAAAGCGUGGGUAGCAAACAGGAUUAGAUACCCUUGUAGUC
rnacentral:rRNA from 1 species